GCCUCUCUAGCGAAGUCGGUAAGGAGUCAGUCUCAUAACCUGAAGGGCGUGAGUUAAAGUCUCACUGGUAGUCG